rnacentral:rRNA from 1 species
GAACUGAAGAGUUUGAUCCUGGCUCAGAUUGAACGCUGGCGGUAUGCUUAACACAUGCAAGUCGAACGGUAACAGGCCGCUGUGAUCCCUUCGGGGUGAACUUGGCGCUGACGAGUGGCGGACGGGUGAGUAAUACUUAGGAAUCUGCCCAGUAGCGGGGGACAACUCGAGGAAACUCGAGCUAAUACCGCAUACGCCCUACGGGGGAAAGCGGGGGAU